AUGAAUAUUAAGUACCUUCCAGGCCACUAUAUUUUGAAGCGAUGGACUCGAGAAGCGCGAAGCGACACUAUACAAAACAGCCAUGGAAACAUUGUUUUGGAAGAUCCUAGAUCAGAAGAUAGACAACAGUUGAAGUUUUUCAUGCACGAGUUCCUUGGCAUAGCUUCACAGGCAGUUAGAUCAGAAGAGUGUAUCAAACUAGUAGAUGAUGCUUUGAAGAAUCUUAGGAAGCAAGUUGAAGAGAAAGCUCGUACUACUACAUGCAGAACUGAAGAUAUAUCUAAAGAACCAGACGAUUGUUUAAAGGAUGCUUGCCUAAAGAAAAAGGAAAUUCCAAAGAAAAAUUUAAGAAGAAAGAAAUCAUGGCUUGACAAUCAGCACCCAAAUAAAAAGAAGAAGGAGACAACUAAAGCGGUACCCAAAAAUCAAAAUCAUUCUGGAGGAAAGAAUGACAUUUCAGUAGCACAAUACCAAGCACCUAUAGAGCAAAUGGCUGGAACAAAUGCAAAUGGUUUGCAAGAAUAUGGGUACUAUGCUCGUUUACUGACGAUCGACAGAUUAUGCAGAAGGAAUAUCUGA
rnacentral:rRNA from 1 species